rnacentral:rRNA from 1 species
AACGAACGCUGGCGGCAGGCCUAACACAUGCAAGUCGAACGUGAAGCCACCUUCGGGUGGUGGAAAGUGGCAGACGGGUGAGUAACGCGUGGGAAUCUACCCAAUGGUACGGAAUAACUCAGGGAAACUUGAGCUAAUACCGUAUGUGCCCGAAAGGGGAAAGAUUUAUCGCCAUUGGAUGAGCCCGCGUCGGAUUAGCUAGUUGGUGGGGUAACGGCCCACCAAGGCGACGAUCCGUAGCUGGUCUGAGAGGAUGAUCAGCCACACUGGGACUGAGACACGGCCCAGACUCCUACGGGUGGCAG